GAUGAACGCUGGCGGCGUGCCUAAUACAUGCAAGUCGAGCGAACAGACGAGGAGCUUGCUCCUCUGACGUUAGCGGCGGACGGGUGAGUAACACGUGGAUAACCUACCGAUAAGACUGGGAUAACUUCGGGAAACCGGAUCUAAUACCGGAUAAUAUAUUGAACCGCAUGGUUCAAUAGUGAAAGACGGUUUUGCUGUCACUUAUAGAUGGAUCCUGGUCGCAUUAGCUAGUUGGUAAGGUAACGGCUUACCAAGGCAACGAUGCGUAGCCGACCUGAGAGGGUGAUCGGCCACACUGGAACUGAGACACGGUCCAGACUCCUACGGGAGGCAGCAGUAGGGAAUCUUCCGCAAUGGGCGAAAGCCUGACGGAGCCACGCCGCGUGAGUGAUGAAGGUCUUCGGAUCGUAAAGCUCUGUUAUUAGGGAGGAACAAAUGUGUAAGUAAAUAUGCACGUCUUGACGGUACCUAAUCAGAAAGCCCCGGCUAACUACGUG
rnacentral:rRNA from 1 species